UUUAUGAAUCCACAGUGAACUGGCCUCUAUCCUGUUUACAAAUGAUUGAAAAACAAGACAGAAUAUACAACUACCAUCAACCAUCAUCAUCAAUUUAUAAAACAGAGUAUAUUUUCAUCCAAAAGAAAAUAGAAGGCUAUAAUCUUCAGGGGAAAAUGAGAGAGAAAAAUAUAUUUGAAUAAAUCUGGUUAUCUGAAAAGCUUACCAACUUGUUUUCUCUUUAAUCACAGACUGGGUAAAACUUUAUCCAACAUGGACUCUGAUCUACAGACUAUAGUGUGGGAAUCUCUGAUAUAAUUUCAGCUCCUAACCUUCAACUGAAGAAAUGAAAACUUGAGGUCAUUUAACCAAAAUCACUGUGUAUUGUAACAUCUCAUUUCAUCAUUAUAAGAAGGAAUUCGCAUUUAACAUUUUUG